UCAUGUGUAUGUUUUGUGUACAGUGUGCAUUAUAUGAAUCACAUUCAUUGACAAUUGAAUGCAAAUAGAAUGGUAAAUUUCAUUUAAUCAUAAAUAUGUUGUUGACAACUUAUAGCAAACAAAUACCAUGAGGGAAAUGUGAAAAGGAUUUUGAAAAGAAAAUUAAAAGAGCUUGCAAUUGCUGAACUGAUAAGCAAACAAAACAUACGUGUGUAUGCAAGAUUGUUGUAAUGCUUAGCAUCUUUUGCAAGGCUAUUGCAAUGAUUUUUUGUAUAGUGAUGCUACCUUUUUUUAGAAUUUGGAAUGUCUUUUUUUGAGUGUGAAUGGAAUUUUGUUUGUUAGCAAAGGAAUGCACUUUUAGAUUCAUUGUUUGAUUUGAUUUAAAAAUGUUUGUGACACAUGUCUUUGUGUUAGUUUCAUGAUUCAACCAAGGACAUUGUGUUUGAUCCAUGUCAGCAAUACAUGUUUUGUUUGACCCGUCUUGAAACACGGACCAAGGAGUUUAAUUUAUGUGCAAGAUCAUGAAACUGACAUUUGUAUAUCAAUGAAAAUAUUUUGUUGGGAUUUGUGCACCAACAACUGAUAAGUUGUGUGACGCGACGUUGAGUUUGAGCAUGUUGAUUAAAACCCGAAAGAUGGUGAACUAUGCCUGAACAGAAUGAAGUCAGAGGAAACUCUGAUGGAAGUUCGUAUCGAUACUGAC
rnacentral:rRNA from 1 species